rnacentral:tRNA from 1 species
UCCCUGGUGGUCCAGUGGUUAAGACUCUGUGCUUCCACUGCAGCGGGACAGGGUCAAUCCCUGGCUGGGGAA